AGUGAACGCUGGCGGUAGGCCUAACACAUGCAAGUCGAACGGCAGCACAGUAAGAGCUUGCUCUUACGGGUGGCGAGUGGCGGACGGGUGAGGAAUACAUCGGAAUCUACUUUUUCGUGGGGGAUAACGUAGGGAAACUUACGCUAAUACCGCAUACGACCUACGGGUGAAAGCAGGGGAUCUUCGGACCUUGCGCGAUUGAAUGAGCCGAUGUCGGAUUAGCUAGUUGGCGGGGUAAAGGCCCACCAAGGCGACGAUCCGUAGCUGGUCUGAGAGGAUGAUCAGCCACACUGGAAAUGAGACACGGUCCAGAAUCCUACGGGAGGCAGCAGUGGGGAAUAUUGGACAAUGGGCGCAAGCCUGAUCCAGCCAUACCGCGUGGGUGAAGAAGGCCUUCGGGUUGUAAAGCCCUUUUGUUGGGAAAGAAAAGCAGCAGGUUAAUACCCCGCUGUUCUGACGGUACCCAAAGAAUAAGCACCGGCUAACUUCGUG
rnacentral:rRNA from 1 species